CAGCAGCCGCGGGAAAACGUAGGUGGCAAGCGUUGUCCGGAAUUAUUGGGCGUAAAGGGCUCGCAGGCGGUUUCUUAAGUCUGAUGUGAAAGCCCCCGGCUCAACCGGGGAGGGUCAUUGGAAACUGGGAAACUUGAGUGCAGAAGAGGAGAGUGGAAUUCCACGUGUAGCGGUGAAAUGCGUAGAGAUGUGGAGGAACACCAGUGGCGAAGGCGACUCUCUGUCUGUAACUGACGCUGAGGAGCGAAAGCGUGGGGAGCGAACAGGAUUAGAUACCCCGGUAGUCCCUGUCUCUUAUACA
rnacentral:rRNA from 1 species